AAGCGUGCGCAGGCGGUUAUAUAAGACAGAUGUGAAAUCCCCGGGCUCAACCUGGGAACUGCAUUUGUGACUGUAUAGCUGGAGUGCGGCAGAGGGGGGAUGGAAUUCCGCGUGUAGCAGUGAAAUGCGUAGAUAUGCGGAGGAACACCGAUGGCGAAGGCAAUCCCCUGGGCCUGCACUGACGCUCAUGCACGAAAGCGUGGGGAGCAAACAGGAUUAGAUACCCGAGU
rnacentral:rRNA from 1 species